GUGUGUGUGUGUGAGUGUGAGCAUGUAGGCCUGUGUGUGUGUCUGUGUAGGCCUGUGUGUGUGUGUCUGUGUAGGCGUGUGUGUGUGUGCCUGUGUGUAUGUGUAGGCCUGUGUGUGUAUAUGUGUAGGCCUGUGUGAGUAUGUGUUUCUGUGUAGGCCUGUGUUUGUGUGUAUCUGUGUAGGCCUGUGUAUGUGUGCAUUUGUGUAGGCCUGUGUGUCUGUAUGUGUGUAGGCCUGUGUGUGUAUGUGUAUCUGUGUAGGCCUGUGUAUGUGUGUGUUUGUGUAGGCCUGUGUGUCUGUGUGUGUGUGUGUCUGUGUGUGUAGGCCUGUGUGUGUGUGUAGGCCUGUGUGUGUAUAUGUAUCUGUGUAGGCCUGUGUGUCUGUGUGUGUGUGUGUCUGUGUGUGUAGGCCUGUGUGUGUGUGUAGGCCUGUGUGUGUAUAUGUAUCUGUGUAGGCCUGUGUGUCUGUGUGUGUGUGUGUCUGUGUGUGUAGGCCUGUGUGUGUGUGUAGGCCUGUGUGUGUAUAUGUAUCUGUGUAGGCCUGUGUGUCUGUGUGUGUGUGUGUAUGUGUGUGUGUGUGUGUGUAGGCCUGUGUGUGUUUGUGUAUCUGUGUAGGCGUGUGUAUGUGUGUGUGUGGAGGCCUGUGUGUAUGUGUAGGCGCGUGUGUGUGUAUGUGUAGGCCUGUGUGUGUGUCUGUGUCUGUGUAGGCCUGUGUGUGUGUGUAGGUGUGUGUGUGUGUAGGCCUGUGUGUGUGUGUGUAGGCGUGUGUGUGUGUAGGCGUGUGUGUGUAGGCGUGUGUGUGAGUGUGAGCAUGUAGGCCUGUGUGUGUGUCUGUGUAGGCCUGUGUGUAUGUGUGUGUGUGUGUGUCUGUGUAGGCCUGUGUGUAUAUCUGUGUAGGCCUGUGUGUGUGUGUGUGUAGGCCUGUGUGUAUGUGUAGGCCUGUGUGUGUCUGUGUAGGCCUGUGUGUGUGUGUGUCUGUGUAGGCGCGUGUGUGUGUGUGUAUAUCUGUGUAGUCCAGUGUGUGUCUGUGUAGGUGUGUGUGUCUGUGUAUGCCUCUGUGUGUGUGUGUGUGUGUGUUAGUGUGAGCAUGUAGGCCUGUGUGUGUGUCUGUGUAGGCCUGUGUGUGUGUGUAUGUAGGUGUGUGUGUCUGUGUAUGCCUCUGUGUGUGUGUGUGUGUAUGUGUAGGCCUAUGUGUGUCUGUGUAGGCCUGUGUGUGUGUGUAGGCGUGUGUGUGUCUGUGUAGGCCUGUGUGUAUGUCUGUGUAGGUGUGUGUGUCUGUGUAUGCCUCUGUGUGUGUGUGUGUGUGUGUGUGUGUGUGUGUGUGACCCGCACUCACCAGUUCUAGGCGGUGGGCAUGACUCGGAGGCACACGGCAGCUUCAGGGCGUCCAUUCUGCUCGGGUGCUCAUCCAGCCUGCGCCAGGCUGAGAGCAGCGCUGGGCCCGCGCUUUACUGCCUGAGUGAGGACCAGCUCUGGGUGGGGUGUGCUGGGCCGGCUCCCGAGCCGCCUAGGGGAGCUGGUCCCCAGCCGACAGAGCUUCAUCCUGGGGUCACCCGACGGGCCGUGCGCCCCGCCACAGGGGCACUCUCCGAGGCCAAGCCCGCACCCGUCACAGAGCUGCAAGUAAGCCCUGAGCCCGAGGCGCCUGCUCACGCUGGCGCGGCGUCCUGUGCAGGGUCUACGGGAAGCGGCUGCGCCUGCGUGCGCGGGGCGACAGUGUGUGCGCGUGAGCCGGCCGCUGGGAAG
ensembl:lncRNA